AACGUGCACAAAAACCCAAACCGGAACAACGUUAGACUACUCAGUUGAGCCCUAACAGUAUAACAUUGCAACUAGUACUUUUUCUCAUUCAAUCGAACAAGGAGUAAAACCUAAUUAUAUUGUUCUAUUAUGCACCGAGAGUGUAAAUUUGGAACGAAUCGAUGUCAAUAUUCACAAGAACCAAAACCGGAACAACAUUAGACUACUCUGUUGCGCCAUAAAAGAAUAACUUUGUAACGAGUACUUUUUCUCAUUCUAUCGAACAAGGAGUAAAAGCUGUCUAUUAUGCUCCGAGAGUGUAAAUUUGGAACGAAACGAUGUCAACGUUCACAAGAACCAAAACCGGAACAACGUUAGACUACUUAGUUGAGCUCUAACAUUAUAACUUCGCAACUAGAACUUUUUCUCAUUUAAUCGAACAAGGAGCAAAACCUAAUUAUAUUGUUCUAUUAUGCCCCGAGAGUGUAAAUUUGGAACGAAUCGAUGUCAAUGUUCACAAGAACCAAAACCGAAACUAAAUUAGACUACUCAGUUGCGCCAUAACAGUAUAACUUUUCAACGAGUACUUUUUCUCAAUCAAUCGAAUAAAGAGUAAAACCUAAUUAUAUUGUUAUAUUAUGCCCCGAGAGUGUAAAUUUGGAACGAAUCGAUAUCAACGUUCACAAGAACCAGAACCGGAACAAUAUUGGACUACUCUGUUGCGCCAUAACAGUAUUACUUUGUAACGAGUACUUUUUCUCAUUCUAUUGAACAAGGAGUAAAAGCUUUCUAUUAUGCCCCGAGAGUGUAAAUAUGGAACGAAACGAUGUCAACGUUCAUAAGAACCAAAACCGGAACAACAUUAGACUACUCAGUUGAGCCCUAACAGUAUAACUUUGCAACUAGAAUUUUUUCUCAUUUAAGCGAACAAAGCGCAAAACCUAAUUAUAUUGUUCUAUUAUACCCCGAGAGUGAAAAUUUGGAACGAAUCGAUGUCAAAGUUCACAAGAACCAAAACCGGAACUAAAUUAGACUACUCAGUUGCGCCAUAACAGUAUAACUUUGCAACGUGCACUUUUUCUCAUUCAAUCGAAUAAAGAGUAAAACCUAGUUAUAUUGUUCUAUUAUACCCCGAGAGUGUAAAUUUGGAACGAAUCGAUGUCAAAGUUCACAAGAACCAAAACCGGAACUAAAUUAGACUACUCAGUUGCGCCAUAACAGUAUAACUUUGCAACGUGCACUUUUUCUCAUUCAAUCGAAUAAAGAGUAAAACCUAGUUAUAUUGUUCUAUUAUGCCCCGAGAGUGUAAAUUUGGAACGAAUCGAUGUCAGCGUUCACAAGAACCAAAACCGGAACAACAUUAAACUACUCUGUUGCGCCAUAACAGUAUAAAUUGUAACGAGUACUUUUUCUCAUUCUAUCGAAUAGGGAGUUAAAGCUUUCUAUUAUGCCCCGAGAGUGUAAAUUUGGAACGAAUCGAUGUCAACGUUCACAAGAACCAAAACAGGUACAACGUUAGACUACUUAGUUGAGCCCUAACAGUAUAACAUUACAAUUAGUACUUUUUCUCAUUCAAUUGAACAAAGCGUAAAACGUAAUUAUAUUGUUCUAUUAUGCCCCGACAGUGUAAAUUUGGAACGAAUCGAUGUCAUAGUUCGCAAGAUCAAAAACCAGAACUAAAUUAGACUACUCAGUUGCGCCAUAACAAUAUAAUGUUUGCAACGAGUACUUUUUCUCUUUCAAUCGAAUAAAGAGCAAAACCUAGUUAUAUUGUUCUAUUAUGCCCCGAGAGUGUAAAUUUGGAACGAAUCGAUGUCAACAUUCACAAGUGCCAAAACCGGAACAACAUUAGACUACUCUGUUGCGCCAUAGCAGAAUAACUUUGUAACGAGUACUUUUUCUCAUUCUACCGAGCAAGGAGUAAAAGUUUUCUAUUAUGCCCCGAGAGUGUAAAUUUGGAACGAAUCGAUGUCAACGUUCACAGGAACCAAAACCGGAACAACGUUAGACUACUCAGUUGAGCCCUAACAGUAUAACUUUGCAACUAGAACUUUUUCUCAUUUAAUAGAACAAAGCGCAAAACCUAAUUAUAUUGUUAUAUUAUGCCCCGAGAGUGUAAACUUGGAACGAAUCGAUGUUAACGUUCACAAGAACCAGAACCGGAACAACAUUAGACUACUUUGUUGAGCCAUAACAAUAUUACUUUGUAACGAGUACUUUUUCUCAUUCUAUCGAACAAGGAGUAAAAGCUUUCUAUUAUGCCCCGAGAGUGUAAAUUUGGAACGAAACGAUGUCAACGUUCACAAGAACCAAAACCGGAACAACGUUAGACUACUCAGUUGAGCCCUAACAGUAUAACUUUGCAACUAGAACUUUUUCUCAUUUAAUAGAACAAAGCGCAAAACCUAAUUAUAUUGUUAUAUUAUGCCCCGAGAGUGUAAACUUGGAACGAAUCGAAGUUAACGUUCACAAGAACCAGAACCGGAACAACAUUAGACUACUACGUUGUGCCAUAACAGUAUUACUUUGUAACGAGUACUUUUUCUCAUUCUAUCGAACAAGGAGUAAAAGCUUUCUAUUAUGCUCCGAGAGUGAAAAUUUGGAAAGAAACGAUGUCAACGUUCACAAGAACCAAAACCGGAACAACGUUAGACUACUCAGUUGAGCCCUAACAGUAUAACUUUGCAACUAAAACUUUUUCUCAUUUAAUCAACAAAGUGCAAAACCUAAUUAUAUUGUUCUAUUAUGCCCCGAGAGUGUAAAUUUGGAACGAAUCGAUGUCAAACUUCACAAGAACCAAAACCGGAACUAAAUUAGACUACUCAGUUGCGCCAUAACAGUAUAACUUUGCAACGUGCACUUUUUCUCAUUCAAUCGAAUAAAGAGUAAAACCUAGUUAUAUUGUUCUAUUAUACCCCGAGAGUGUAAGUUUGGAACGAAUCAAUGUCAACGUUCACAAGAACCAAAACCGGCACAACAUUAGACUACUCUGUUGCGCCUUAACAGUUUAACUUUGCAACGAGUACUUUUUCUCAUUCUACCGAACAAGGUGUAAAAGCAGUCUAUUAUACCCCGAGAGUGUAAAUUUGGAACGAAGCGUUGUCAACGUUCACAAGAACCAAAACCGGAACAAUGUUAGACUACUCAGUUGAGCCAAAACAGUAUAACUUUGCAACUAGAACUUUUUCUCAUUUAAUAGAACAAAGCGCAAAACCUAAAUAUAUUGUUCUAUUAUGCCCCGAGAGUGUAAAUUUGGAACGAAUCGAUAUCAACGUUCACAAGAAUCAUAACCGGAACAACAUUAGACUACUCUAUUGCGCCAUAACAGUAUAACUUUGCAACGAGUACUUUUUCUAAUUCUAUCGAAUAAGGAGUAAAAGCUUUCUAUUAUGCCCCGAGAGUGUAAAUUUGGAACGAAUCAAUGUCAACGUUCACAAUAACCAAAACAGGAACAACGUUAGACUACUCAGUUGAGCCCUAACAGUAUAACAUUGCAACUAGUACUUUUUCUUAUUCAAUCGAACAAAGAGUAAAACCAAAUUAUAUUAUUCUAUUAUACCCCGAGAGUGUAAAUUUGGAACGAAUCGAUGUCAACGUUCACAAGAACCAAAACCGGAACAACAUUAGACUACUCUGUUGCGCUAUAACAGAAUUACUUUGCAACGAGUACUUUUUCUCAUUCUAUCGAACAAGGAGUAAAAGCUGUCUAUUAUGCCCCGAGAGUGUAAAUUUGGAACGAAACGAUGUCAACGUUCACAAGAACCAAAACCGGAACAACGUUAGACUACUUAGUUGAGCUCUAACAGAAUAACUUUGCAACUAGAACUUUUUCUCAUUUAAUCGAAC
rnacentral:lncRNA from 1 species